rnacentral:rRNA from 1 species
GACAGGGGAUGCAAGCGUUAUCCGGAAUGAUUGGGCGUAAAGCGUCUGUAGGUGGCUUUUUAAGUCUGCCGUCAAAUCCCAGGGCUCAACCCUGGCCAGGCGGUGGAGGCUACUAAGCUGGAGUACGGUAGGGGCAGAGGGAAUUUCCGGUGGAGCGGUGAAAUGCGUAGAUAUCGGAAAGAACACCAAGGGCGAAGGCACUCUGCUGGGCCGAAACUGACACUGAGAGACGAGAGCUAGGGGAGCAAAUGGG